UGGGGAAUUUUGGACAAUGGGCGAAAGCCUGAUCCAGCAAUGCCGCGUGUGUGAAGAAGGCCUUCGGGUUGUAAAGCACUUUUGUCCGGAAAGAAAUCCUUGGCUCUAAUACAGUCGGGGGAUGACGGUACCGGAAGAAUAAGCACCGGCUAACUACGUGCCAGCAGCCGCGGUAAUAGCGUAGGGUGCAAGCGUUAAUCGGAAUUACUGGGCGUAAAGCGUGCGCAGGCGGUUUGCUAAGACCGAUGGUGAAAUCCCCGGGCUCAACCUGGGAACUGCAUUGGUGACUGGCAGGCUAGAGUAUGGCAGAGGGGGUAGAAUUCCACGUGUAGCAGUGAAAUGCGUAGAGAUGUGGAGGAAUA
rnacentral:rRNA from 1 species